GUUGUAUGGUUAAGUGACUAAGCGUACACGGUGGAUGCCUAGGCAGUUGGAGGCGAUGAAGGACGUACUAACUUGCGAUAAGCCAUGACGAGGCAGUAAGAGCCACUUGAGUCAUGGAUUUCCGAAUGGGGCAACCCACUGAGCUUGCUCAGUAUCCGGCACUGAAUAAAAUAGGUGCCAGGAGGCGAACCCGGAGAACUGAAACAUCUAAGUACCCGGAGGAAAAGAAAUCAACCGAGAUUUCCCUAGUAGCGGCGAGCGAACGGGAAGCAGCCCUUAAGCGUUACAUGUGCUAACAGAAUCUGUUGGGAAGCAGAGCCAUAGACGGUGAUAGCCCGGUAUGUGAAGGCGCAUGAAACGUGAAAACGAGUAGGUCGGGACACGUGUUAUCUUGACUGAAUAUGGGGGGACCAUCCUCCAAGGCUAAAUACUCCCAACUGACCGAUAGUGAACCAGUACCGUGAGGGAAAGGCGAAAAGAACCCCGGCGAGGGGAGUGAAAUAGAACCUGAAACCGUGUACGUACAAGCAGUAGGAGCGGACGUGUUCCGUGACUGCGUACCUUUUGUAUAAUGGGUCAGCGACUUAUAUUUUGUAGCAAGGUUAACCGUAUAGGGUAGCCGUAGGGAAACCGAGUCUUAACUGGGCGCUCAGUUGCAAGGUAUAGACCCGAAACCGGGCGAUCUAACCAUGAGCAGGUUGAAGAUUGAGUAACAUCAAUUGGAGGACCGAACCCACUUAUGUUGAAAAAUGAGGGGAUGACUUGUGGCUAGGAGUGAAAGGCUAAUCAAGCCCGGAGAUAGCUGGUUCUCCCCGAAAUCUAUUUAGGUAGAGCCUCGGACGAAUACCAUUGGGGGUAGAGCACUGUUUGGGCUAGGGGGUCAUCCCGACUUACCAACCCCAUGCAAACUCCGAAUACCAAUGAGUACUAUCCGGGAGACACACGGCGGGUGCUAACGUCCGUCGUGGAGAGGGAAACAACCCAGACCGCCAGCUAAGGUCCCAAAGUUAUGGCUCAGUGGGAAACGAUGUGGGAAGGCACAGACAGCUAGGAGGUUGGCUUAGAAGCAGCCACCCUUUAAAGAAAGCGUAAUAGCUCACUAGUCGAGUCGGCCUGCGCGGAAGAUGUAACGGGGCUAAGCCAUACACCGAAGCUGCGGCAGCAACUUGUUGCUGGGUAGGGGAGCGUUCUGUAAGCGGAUGAAGGUGGUUCGAGAGGACUGCUGGACGUAUCAGAAGUGCGAAUGCUGACAUGAGUAACGAUAAUGGGAGUGAAAAACUCCCACGCCGGAAGACCAAGGUUUCCUAUCCCAUGCUAAUCAGGGUAGGGUAAGUCGGCCCCUAAGGCGAGGCGGAAACGCGUAGUCGAUGGAAAACAGGUUAAUAUUCCUGUACCGAUGUUCAUUGCGAUGGGGGGACGGAGAAGGCUAGGUGAGCGCGGCGUUGGUAGUCCGCGUGAAAGUGCGUAGGCUGAGGGUUUAGGAAAAUCCGGACCCUUAAGGCCGAGACACGAGACGAGCAUCUACGGAUGCGAAGUCAUUGAUGCCCUGCUUCCGGGAAAAGCCUCUAAGCUUCAGAUGAACAUUGACCGUACCCCAAACCGACACAGGUGGUCAGGUAGAGAAUACUAAGGCGCUUGAGAGAACUCGGGUGAAGGAACUAGGCAAAAUAGUACCGUAACUUCGGGAGAAGGUACGCCGCUGAUGGUGAUUGACUUUUCGUCAUGAGCUGUUGGCGGUCGCAGUGACCAGGUGGCUGGGACUGUUUAUUAAAAACACAGCACUGUGCUAACACGAAAGUGGACGUAUACGGUGUGACACCUGCCCGGUGCCGGAAGGUUAAUUGAUGGGGUUAGCGUAUGCGAAGCUCUUGAUCGAAGCCCCGGUAAACGGCGGCCGUAACUAUAACGGUCCUAAGGUAGCGAAAUUCCUUGUCGGGUAAGUUC
rnacentral:rRNA from 2 species